GAUGAACGCUGGCGGCGUGCCUAAUACAUGCAAGUCGAGCGAACGGACGAGAAGCUUGCUUCUCUGAUGUUAGCGGCGGACGGGUGAGUAACACGUGGAUAACCUACCUAUAAGACUGGGAUAACUUCGGGAAACCGGAGCUAAUACCGGAUAAUAUUUUGAACCGCAUGGUUCAAAAGUGAAAGACGGUAUUGCUGUCACUUAUAGAUGGAUCCGCGCUGCAUUAGCUAGUUGGUAAGGUAACGGCUUACCAAGGCAACGAUGCAUAGCCGACCUGAGAGGGUGAUCGGCCACACUGGAACUGAGACACGGUCCAGACUCCUACGGGAGGCAGCAGUAGGGAAUCUUCCGCAAUGGGCGCACGCCUGACGGUCCAACGCCGCGUGAGUCAUGAAGGUCUUCGGAUCGUAAAACUCUGUUAUUAGGGAAGAACAUAUGUGUAAGUAACUGUGCACAUCUUGACGGUACCUAAUCAGAAAGCCACGGCUAACUACGUG
rnacentral:rRNA from 1 species